CCUACGGGAGGCAGCAGUAGGGAAUCUUCCACAAUGGGCGAAAGCCUGAUGGAGCAACGCCGCGUGAAGGAAGAAGGCUUUCGGGUUGUAAACUUCUUUUAAUGGGGAAGAGCAGAAGACGGUACCCCUUGAAUAAGCCACGGCUAACUACGUGCCAGCAGCCGCGGUAAUACGUAGGUGGCAAGCGUUGUACGGAUUUACUGGGUGUAAAGGGCGUGCAGCCGGAGAGACAAGUCAGAUGUGAAAUCCACGGGCUCAACCCGUGAACUGCAUUUGAAACUGGUUCCCUUGAGUGUCGGAGAGGUAGUCGGAAUUCGUGGUGUAGCGGUGAAAUGCGUAGAUAUUAGGAAGAACACCAGUGGCGAAGGCGGAUUACUGGACGAUAACUGACGGUGAGGCGCGAAAGCGUGGGGAGCAAACAGGAUUAGAUACCCCUGUAGUC
rnacentral:rRNA from 1 species